rnacentral:lncRNA from 1 species
AUGGGGAAGCAUGCUGUUACAGUUCAUGCUCUUCCUGCCUGUGAAUUGAAUACUGUCCUGGUAGCAGCUUUGGGUCUGUCAGGAGCUCAAGGCUGGUCUGUGUGGCUAUGGAUGAGCACUGAACUUGCCUCAAAGAAUUUAAGGGGUCCACAGCAGCCUCUGGUGGUCUUUGGUGUUAGUCCUCCAGGUAGAGCCAGUGUUACAAAUAGGUGGCAGAUCACAAGAUCACGAGUUUGAGACCAGCCUGGCCAACAUUGUGAAACCCUGUCUCUACUAAAAAUGCAGAAAUUAGCUGGGCAUGGUGGUAUGCACCUGUAGUCCCAGCUACUCAGGAGGCUGAGGCAGGAGAAUUGCUUGAACCUGGGAGGCGGAGGUUUUAGUGAGUGGAGAUUAUACCGCUGCACUCCAGCUUGGGCAACAGAGUGAGCCUUCAUCAAAAAAAAAAAAAAAAGAAAAAAGAAGAAGAAAAGAAAAAUGGUGUCGAAUGGGAUUUUUUUCUAUUUUAAAUAUUUCUAUUUAAACAUUUUAAAUAUUAUUUAAAUAGAAUAUUUUAAAAUAUUCUAUUUUAAAUAUUUCUAUUUAAAAUUAUUACAGACUCAUAAGAAAUUACAAAAAUAGUACAGAGCAGUCACAUCUCCCCUGCCUCCAGCUUCCCCCAAUUGUAACAUCUUAUAUAAUAACUACAGUACACUGUCAAAGCCAGGAAAUGAACAUUGGCGCCAUACUCUUCACUAAAUUCGGACCUCGCUGGGACUAGAACAAGUUGUACAGUUGGCACUCUCCUAGAGGUAAUUUGAGUUGUUUGCAUGAAAUUUAUUCUCAGAAGUAACACAGUAGAGGGAAUUUGCUGUUACCAGAUCUUUGUAUUUUGGGUAAGUUGUUUAAUGGCACCAAGCCUUGAUUUGCUCAUCUGUGAAAUGGAAAUAAUAAUACCUACCAAGUAAGCUGUUAUGAGGAAGUACCUCCAGUUCAGUCAGUGCCAUAUACUGGGAACCCCUAAAUACUAGCUUUCUUCUUCCCUUGUAAGACCACACUUUAUUAUUAUUAUUAUUAUUUGGUAUUUUAAAGAGGUUUAUUCUAAGUAGCCAAUAGGAGUGACCAUAAUCCUGGGAAACGGUCUCAAGGGGUCCUGAGAAAGUGCACCCAAGGCAGUUAAAAAUUACAGUCUGGUUUUAUACAUUUUAGAAAAGCAAAAGUUACAGGCAAAUAUAUAAAUCAGUAGUGCAUGGAAGGUAUACAACAGUUAGUCCAAAAAGGAGAGAGAUCCUGAAGCCGGCAUCCACAGAAGACCACACUAUAUCUCAGAGUUUUAUAGGAGAUGUAGGUGCUCUCCUAAUAAUUAACCUGUUUCUUGUCUUUUUCUUCCUUUUUCCUUUCCUUUCCUUUUUUUUUAACAAGGUCUUGCACUGUCACCCAGGUGGAAGUGCAGUGGCUAUUCACAGGCACAAUCACAGCUCACAGCAACCUCAACCUCCUGGGCUCAAGCAGUCCUGUUGCCUCAGCCUCCUGAGAAGCUGGCACUACGAACACAUGCCCUUGCACCCAGCUAAUUUAUUAUUAUUAUUUUUUUCUUUUUCGGAGCAAGGGUUUCACUUUGUUGCUCAGGCUGUCUCAAGCUCCCGGGCUCAGUGAUCCUCCUGCCUCAGCCUCCCAAAGUGCUGGGAUGAAAGUGAAUUUGCCGUCCCCCAAAGCACAAAGUGGCCACGCCCAGCCUCAACCUGGUUCUUGAUUAUGACUGUUAGGGUUGUUAUUUUGCUCAGACUGGUCUUGCCUCUUAGAACUAACCAACGUUUGUGUCAAAAUCACUUCCUAUGGAUGUGAAAUCAGAAGUGUCAACUCUGUUUGACCUUCAUACCACUUCUCUUAGAAGCAGCCCUCUACCCGCCCCCGCCAAGAAAAUGGCUUGAAAACUUCAAGACCACUACACUCCAUGAGGCCAUCCUUGACCCAGCCAUCUUGCUGGCGUAGACUCUCUGUGUCCCUGCAGGCUGGCAUCCAAGCUGGACUUGUGGGCUGAGCUAGACUGUCAUCCCAUUUGUUUCUUUCCUCCGACUCCCAGGUGGCCCCUGGAACCAUGGCAAGGCUUUGAUGUGGGAGUCAGAAGAAGGAGGGAGUCCGGCAGUCCCUAAUGGUGGGGUUCUCUCUGCCUUCCUACCUGCCUCCCUGCACAGGUGUACGGUUUGCACACAUCACAGCAUUGGUCCUGAGGCUGACUGUACAGCGCAUUUGGGCUUCUGCACGUCCUAGUUUUUCUCCUUUCUCACAGUCAUUUGUCUUUUAUAAGCCAACUGGGCAACUGCCAUCCUUCAUUGUUUUUUGGUAUGGUGCCUGCCAUGUCUUAAUGCUCAAUUAAUAAAAUUACAGUAAUAACCCUCCUUCUGGCCUGGUGUUCCAGAAGCAGUGCUGGGUGGAUGAUGGGUCUGAGGUGGAUUUUCCUGGGUCCCCAGUGGAAGUCAGAAGUCACUGCAGUGCUAGUUGGAAGAGAAAGUGGAGAGAGGCAGGUGGACAUGAAGGCAUACAGACAGGAGGCGUUGAGAGAAAGAAAAGUUGGUUCAGGCACGGUGGCUCAUGCCUGUAAUUCCAGCACUUUGGGAGGCUGAGGCAGGUGGAUCAUGAGGUCAGGAGUUCAAGACCAACUUGACCAAUGUGGCAAAACCCCGUCUCUACUAAAAAUACAAAAAUUAGCCAGGCGUGGUGGCGCGCACCUGAAAUCUCAGCUACUCGGGAGACUGAGGCAGGAGAAUCACUUGAACCCAGGAGCAGAGGUUGCAGUGAGCAGAGAUCACACUAUUGCACUCCAUCCUGGGUGACAGAGUGAGACUCUGUCUCAAAAAAAAAAAAAAGUUGAGGUUGGCACGGAGUGGGUCUCUAGGCUCAAGGAAAGUCUAGAGGUUUGUUUUGUGUGUUUUCUUUUGUGAUGGGAGUCUCAGUCUGUCAUCCAGUCUGGAGUCCAGUGGCACGAUCUUGGCUCACUGUAACUUCCGCCCUCCCAAGUUCAAGCCUUUGAGAAGCUGGGACCACAGGCAUGGGCCACCAUGCCUGGCUAAUUUUUUGUAUUUUUGGUAGAGAUGGGGUUUCACCAUGUUGCUCUAGGUGGUCUUGAACUCCUAAACUCAGGCCAUCCACCCACCUCAGCCUCCCAAAGUGUUGGGACUACAGGUGUGAGCCACCACACCCAGCAAAGUCUGGAGGUUUUUGUGAAGAGUUUCAACUUUGGGGUCAGAUUGUUUUAUUAGAAUCUUGGCUCUGCCACUGACCAGGUGUGCACUUUUGGACAAAUUCCAUAGCCCUCCUUAGCCUCUUUCCUCAUCUGUAAAUGGGGAUAAUGAUUCCUACUUCUUAGAUCUUGUAUUGUGAAGAUGGACAAAGAGUCUCUGCUUGACGAAACUACCAUCAGUCUCCUGAACCUUCUUCUAGGCCCAUCUGUGCACUUCCUUGUAAAAUCUACUUUCAGGAAGAACCCUGCUAAGUCAGUUUACCAAGAACCCCCCACCCUGUGUAAGUGACCAGCUUCCCCAUCUGAUCAUCCCACCCCAGCCCUGCCAGGGGAUGUCUGAUCUUCAAGAAUCCUGU